AACCCAUGUUUGUCGAACGCGUNGGCCCAAUUGAUUGAUGGUGCUUGCACCUGAUUGAUUUUGGUCGNUUNNNUUUGGCGGACGGGUGAGUAACACGUAGGUAACCUGCCCAGAAGCGGGGGACAACAUUUGGAAACAGAUGCUAAUACCGCAUAACANCGUUGUUCGCAUGAACAACGCUUAAAAGAUGGCUUCUCGCUAUCACUUCUGGAUGGACCUGCGGUGCAUUAGCUUGUUGGUGGGGUAACGGCCUACCAAGGCGAUGAUGCAUAGCGCGAGUUGAGAGACUGAUCGGCCACAAUGGGACUGANACACGGCCAUACUCCUACGGGAGGCAGCAGUAGGGAAUCUUCACAAUGGGCGCAAGCCUGAUGGAGCAACACCGCNUGAGUGAAGAAGGGUUUCGGCUCGUAAAGCUCUGUUGUNAAAGAAGAACACGUAUGAGAAGUAACUGUUCAUACGGUUGACGGUAUUUAACCAGAAAGUCACGGCUAACUACGUUGCCAGCAGCCCGCGGUAAUACGUAGGUGGCAAGCGUUAUCCGGAUUUAUUGGGCCGUAAAGAGAGUGCANGCGGGUUUCUAAGUCUNGAUGUNAAAGCCUUUNGCUUAACCGGAGAAGUGCAUCGGAAACUGGAUAACUUGGGUGCANAAANAAGGUAAGUGGNACUCCAUGUGUUAUNUGGUNGNACCNCCCCCNUNUUAUGGGAAGGAACACCANUGGCNAAAGGCGGNUUCCCUGGNUCUUGCAACUUGGCCCCUUAANACUCCU
rnacentral:rRNA from 1 species